rnacentral:rRNA from 1 species
UGAGGAAUAUUGGUCAAUGGGCGAGAGCCUGAACCAGCCAAGUCGCGUGAAGGAAGAAGGAUCUAUGGUUCGUAAACUUCUUUUGCAGGGGAAUAAAGUGCGGGACGUGUCCUGUUUUGUAUGUACCCUGAGAAUAAGGAUCGGCUAACUCCGUGCCAGCAGCCGCGGUAAUACGGAGGAUCCGAGCGUUAUCCGGAUUUAUUGGGGUUAAAGGGUGCGUAGGUGGUUUGAUAAGUCAGCGGUGAAAGUUUGCAGCUUAACUGUAAAAAUGCCGUUGAAACUGUCGGACUGGAGUGUAAAUGAGGUAGGCGGAAUGCGUGGUGUAGCGGGGAAAUGCAUAGAUAUCACGCAGAACUCCGAGUGCGAAGGCAGCUUACUAAGCUACAACUGACACUGAAGCACGAAAGCGUGGGGAUCAAACA